rnacentral:tRNA from 1 species
GGCCCGUCGUCCAGCGGCCCAGGAUCACGCGCGCUCCCUCGGGAAACGCGUAGACGCGGGUUCGAAUCCCGCCGGUGUCA